AUGGGAGGGUGCUUCAGAGUAUUGUUCAGAGUGCUGAGAGUGUAUGCAAGAGCACUGUACAGUGCAUCUUUUCCAUGCCUGUCAGCACAACCCUUGCAAAGGGAGAAGCAAACCAACACUAUGCACAGAAGCAACAGAAACGGAGGCAUCUGUCCUGAGGUCGCAACUUCUCUCUAUCUAAACACACGGGAAAUUCUCCUUGCCAGUGUCUGCUUCCCAUGUCUCUGUCUCCAGCUGAAAACCAGUUCCUGUGGAGACUGCUGGGACAGCAACUGCCAGUCAGCACUAUCAAGUGUCCUGCCUGCCAGGCUCCUGCUGUGUCUGCGUGGAGUCCAGCCAGAGUUCUCAGUCUCUACUGUGCAGUCUCUACCAGCAGGUCAAUGCAAUCAAACUGGGUCUGCAUGUAUGAUGACGCAGGCCUUAAUGCCCGAGCUAUGUGGCCACGUGUGCUUUGGCACUGCGGAAGGCUGGUUUUCACCAAUCGGCACAGAAGUAUGUAGUGUUUCAGAUGUCAUGCACAGGGGUUUUAUUUCUCACAGAUUUAGAAACUGGGGUCUGAGUGGUUACACUUUGUCUGCAAGGUUAUUACUGUGUGCCAUGAGCAGCACUCACUUUACCUGUUUUCAUUGGCACUGUUUGUGGUAGAGCUAACCCAAGUUUGUAAAUGUAUGAGUGAACACCAGGACUUGAGUUCCAUUCAGUCUUUCAGCAAGACUGGUAACUUAGUUUUAUCCAUUUAAAUCCUGAUCAGAUGCUUGCAGAGCAGUGACAGACCAUCACGUGGUACCACCUGCUGCUGUGGUUUCUCACAGCAGCGUUGUGACCAUCCAUUGCAGGAUCUAGAUCACUACUAUCAGUUAGCUUUGAACACACUGCUGCUUGUGGAAUGUCUCUGGAUAAUCAGAUAAAAAAAACUGUCAGGCUUCUGAGAGUUGACUGAAAGUUUCUCCUAACAGUGGUUUUCUAAGGCUUUUAGUUUUGUACCUGUGCUCUAAUCAAAAUAAUAUUCAAGUUCAACUUUAGCAUAGAUUUUAAGUUGUUUUCCUGUGUAGCAACCUUUCUGGCUAUUUUGUUCUAAUGUUUAUUGGCCUGUGUCUUCUAACAAAUGUGUGCCCUAAGGAAAUGUACUGGACAGGCCAGGAUCUGUCUGAAUGAUGCUAUCUAAAGUAGGAUUGUGUGUGCUUUCAUUUGCGUGGCAGAGGUCUGAUUCCCAUUGUAUUAUUCCCAUUACAAGUCCAUUGGUAAUUGGUCUUGUAGUUUCUUAUCUAUACUAGAAGACUUCUUGAACAUAUCUGUAUUAGGUGUUAGUGUCAAAUAUCAUAAACCAGGCUUGCCAGUACACAGCUUGUGUUCUUUUAGCUUUUUUCAGUUUCUGAAUAUACUGCCCAGGGAGUCUCUGUGGUCUCUGGAUCUGGAAGUUUUCAAGACUCCGCUAGGCAAAGCGGCGGCUGACCUGUGCCAGUGUUAGAUGUGGUC
rnacentral:lncRNA from 1 species